rnacentral:snoRNA from 1 species
UAUGCCCUGAAGUGCUACAGCUUUGGCCGCUGUGUCACCUGUGUGUCAGUAGGUGACAGAGAGGAGAGGCAAUGCCUAUCUAUGCCCACUGUUCUGACCUAAGCACAUCUGAAUGACUAGUAGCCUAACUUC